GAGUAUCUGUUCGGAUACAAUUUUAUUCGAGAUACAAUCACGUAUAUAAGUAUGAGCCUAUCUUUCAACAGAAAUUUAAGUCUUAAUUCAUGACAUUGUGAAAAAUUAAGCUUGUUCACGAAAGGAAAGAAAAUUUAUGAUCGAUGUGGAGUCCUUGUAACUACUUACACAAGUUUUCUUGGGAAUUUGUAGCCGAAUUAAAUGGUACACUCCCUCAAUGCCUUGGAGACAACUCUUUGGAGAUAUGCAAAUACAAUGCUACCUUGAAAGUGAACAUAUGUAGUUUUCAUUCACAUAAUGCAGCAUAAGUAGUUUUGUAGCAUGAAUUUGAAGUUCAUUGUUUUGGUAAAAAAAAAGUAAUCAACAGUUUUGGCUAUUCUUGGUCUACUAAGGGUGUGUUUUGCUCUGAUAUGAUAAAAGAUGAUGUAUUUUGUGCAAAUUGGACAAUAAUCUUUUAUCAUUCAUUUAGGAUCUGCAUGAGUUUUAUGCUAUUCUAAACUUUUAACAA